AGCAGCCGCGGUAAUUCCAGCUCCAAUAGCGUAUAUUAAAGUUGUUGCAGUUAAAAAGCUCGUAGUUGAAUUUCGGGGUUAGUAGGUUGGUCAUGCCUCUGGUAUGUACUGGUCUCACUGAUUCCUCCUUCCUGAUGAGCCGUAAUGCCAUUAAUUUGGUGUUGCGAGGAAUUUGGACCGUUACUUUGAAAAAAUUAGAGUGUUUAAAGCAGGCUCACGCUUGAAUACAUUAGCAUGGAAUAAUGAAAUAGGACGUUUGAUUCUAUUUUGUUGGUUUCUAGGAUCGACGUAACGAUUAAUAGGGAUAGUUGGGGGCAUUAGUAUUCAAUUGUCAGAGGUGAAAUUCUUGGAUUUAUUGAAGACUAACUACUGCGAAAGCAUUUGCCAAGGAUGUUUUCAUUAAUCAAGAACGAAAGUUAGGGGAUCGAAGACGAUCAGAUACCGUCGUAGUCUUAACCAUAAACUAUGCCGACUAGGGAUCGGAUGAUGUUAAUUUUUAAUGACUCAUUCGGCGCCUUAA
rnacentral:rRNA from 1 species